GAUGAACGCUGGCGGCGUGCUUAACACAUGCAAGUCGAACGGAAAGGCUCCUGCUUGCAGGGGUACUCGAGUGGCGAACGGGUGAGUAACACGUGGGUGAUCUGCCCUGCACUUCGGGAUAAGCCUGGGAAACUGGGUCUAAUACCGGAUAGGACGAUGGUUUGGAUGCCAUUGUGGAAAGUUUUUGCGGUGUGGGAUGAGCUCGCGGCCUAUCAGCUUGUUGGUGGGGUAAUGGCCUACCAAGGCGUCGACGGGUAGCCGGCCUGAGAGGGUGUACGGCCACAUGGGGACUAAGAUACGGCCCAGACGCCAACGGGAGGCAGCAGGGGGGAAUAUUGCGCAAUGGGGGCAAGCCUGAUGCAGCGAUGCCGCGUGGGGGAUGACGGCCUUCGGGUUGUAAACACCUGUCGCUGGGGACGAAGCGGAAUUGACGGUACCUGGAGAAGAAGCACCGGCUAACUACGUG
rnacentral:rRNA from 1 species